CGCCAGACUCCUACGGGAGGCAGCAGUGGGGGAUAUUGCACAAUGGGGGAAACCCUGAUGCAGCGACGCCGCGUGUGGGAAGACGGUCUUCUGGAUUGUAAACCACUGUCCCCAGGGACGAAAAUGACGGUACCUGGGGAGGAAGCUCCGGCUAACUACGUGCCAGCAGCCGCGGUAAUACGUAGGGGGCAAGCGUUAUCCGGAUUCACUGGGUGUAAAGGGAGCGUAGACGGCGACGCAAGUCUGGAGUGAAAGCCCGGGGCCCAACCCCGGGACUGCUCUGGAAACUGCGUCGCUGGAGUACGGGAGGGGCAGGCGGAAUUCCUGGUGUAGCGGUGAAAUGCGUAGAUAUCAGGAGGAACACCGGCGGCGAAGGCGGCCUGCUGGACCGUGACUGACGUUGAGGCUCGAGAGCGUGGGGAGCAAACAGGAUUAGAUACCCGAGUAUGU
rnacentral:rRNA from 1 species